rnacentral:rRNA from 1 species
AAUAUUGGACAAUGGGGGCAACCCUGAUCCAGCCAUGCCGCGUGUGUGAAUAAGGUCUUCGGAUUGUAAAGCACUCUAAGUUGGGAGGAAGGGCUUUAGGUAAAUACCCUGAAGUUUUGACGUUACCAACAGAAUAAGCACCGGCUAACUCUGUGCCAUCAGCCGAGGUAAUGCAGAGGGGGCAAGCGUUAAUCGGAAUUACUGGGCGUAAAGCGCUCGUAGGUGGUUCAGUAAGAUGGGUGUGAAAUCCCCGGGCUUAACCUGGGAACUGCUUUCAUAACUGCUGAGCUAGAGUACGGUAGAGGGUAGUGGAAUUUCCUGUGUAGCGGUGAAAUGCGUAGAUAUAGGAAGGAACACCAGUGGCGAAGGCGACUACCUGGACUGAUACUGACACUGAGGUGCGAAAGCGUGGGGAGCAAAC